rnacentral:sRNA from 1 species
UGUAGUUCAAUAUCAUCAUCCUCAAAGAGCUUAAACACCGAGUUGAUUUUCUCAUCAUCCACCUCAUCUAAUGUCG